CCUAGUCAUUGGCCAAGCAGCAUUUGAACAUAAUACAAGUUUCUGUGUAUUCAUUUGGGCCCUAACUCAGGCGGGCUGCUGGCGUAAAGUACACACAUAGCGGUGGGGCUCUGGCAGCCUUUGGCGGAAAGAUUUAUCGUAACAGAGGAGGACAAGCAAAGUCACACACGAGUCUCUCCUUCCCCUCAAACGUUCAAAACUCUAGUGGCAUUUGCUUCCCCUCCCCCGCCCCCCCCAAAUAUUUGUAGUUGGAGGACAUCCCUCUCUAGUCAAACUGAAGGCAGAAUCCCAUUGCUUCACCAGUCAUGAGGAUGGUGCACCUGGCUCUGCACCUGCAUGUAAAAAGAAGCCUUCAGACUGUCAUUUCUGUGUGAGGACUUUCAAAGUGUUUGAGGACUGGGACAUUCCAUCUUUCCCACUUACUUGAGUGACACCUGAGCUAGCCAGGUCUAUGUAACCAAUAGUGCUGAAUAAGAACAAACCUCUGUAAUUAAUAUGGUAUUGGUCCUACAAACAAGUUUAAGAAAAUGUAUGUGAGACCAAGUCAGCCAAUCCUCAUGUGAACCAGAUCAAAGAAAAUUGUGGACUUCAGACAAUAGAACAUCCUCUUUGGAAAUGCUAUCGUUUUUCGGGAAGUUGCCCGAAGUCUUAGUGUCAAAGGAAAUAGUCCAGAGGAAACGGUCCCUGCAGCUUUUGAGAACAACAAUAUCAACUGCAGCCAUUUCAACUAGUAUUUAAACCCUUGAGUUGACCACUAUGAGGAAUGAGGGGAAGUUUAGGGCUUUCAUCUCCUUUUUAUCUCCUAUAUUCUUUUCUUCUUGGUGUCUGGCUAUAGUCACUGUUUUCAGUGAUUCUACGAGGGAGGCAGGAGAGGUACAGUGGUAACAGGAAAAGAUGAAAAGGAGGAGGAGAUGGCUUCAUUAAUUAUAUAUCACUGUAAGCUUAAAAUAGCAUGUUCACUUUUUUUAAAUGAACGAGAUCAAAUAGAGGGGGGAAAAAGCAAAGCACCAGCACUGGCUUAUCAGCUCCCAAGUGUUUGCACUAUGGAUGGAAUCUUUGCCUUGAUUGCCUGAGAUGUUCCAUUGAGUUGGACAGGUCAUCGUGUGGUGAGAAAGUUGGUUUUUAAACAGCGAGGCUGUUAGAGCAGGUCAUUCUCAGAAGCACUGGCUACCCAUAGCAUUGUGGCUCUGUUCUUCUUCACCAUCCAGAAGUAAAAAGAAUAUUGGUAAACUUCCCCAAUCAAUGAAUCUUCCAGAACUAUUAUGUGUCUUCUAUUUACUCCUCAUUGGCCCAAACAGGUGCAUAAACUCAAAAAGGAAGAGAACGCACACCUCAGAGGAGGAGAGUUAUAGAUACUGGCAAGCAGUCUUGUUUCUCCAUGAAAAAGCCAUUUGUUCUUUUUUUUUAAGAUGUGAGAUUCUAGGAGAUGUGGACAUCUGAGACAAAUUCAUGUUGACAGUUAACAAGUUAUUGGAGUACACAUCCCCCAAAUCUUCUCUCUUUUGUAUCUUGUUGCUUAGCAUACAUUCAUUUUUACAUUAAUAAAUGUAUUAUUUCUCUAUGGAGCAAUGAGGGGUAUAACUCAUACCAAUGCUGAAUCAGUGUCCCAGCUUUGGCUAGACACUUAUAUUGCAUCAUGCACUUCCUUUAUUGAUACUGGGAGAAAUAUUUUCAAUUCCAUAGUCCUGCUUUGUGUUGUUUGCUUUGCUCUUCCAAAUUCCUUCAGCACUCAUGAGGCCUGGAGGAACCUCUGUGUGUCCUUCCAGCCCCGUAAAACCAUGGCAUGUAGUUCAAAGAGAGGGCACCCAUUAAGCUAAGAACAUUUUCCAGAUUCAAGAGAGCCUCUGCAUUUAGAGCAUGGUGUAUGGAUCAGUAGAGAUAGUAGUUCAAAGGGACUAGUCGGUUUCAUAAAAUAAGCACCUUGGUUACCCAUUAAAUUUGCCUUUGUAAAUAAAGCGGAGCCCGCUUCUCUUUGAUCUUCAGAAGACAGUUCAGCAUGCUAUACAUAGCACAGAGAUGAAAGUAGAUGAGGCAGCUUAAAGUGAAAUACACCACCGACUGAUAUACAGCUGUGAGGCUGCUUCGAGAGGCACAAGUAAUUUGUAAGUAAUGUCCGUGUUUUGUAGUAUUUUCAUGGGGCGGUUGACAUUCAUUUCAGGGUUUUAAAAAUUCAUAUAAAUAAACAAUGGGCACUGCAGAGAAAGUUAUAAAACACGAGCCAUAAAUAUGAUCAAUGGUUCAUAAUCGCUUGCAUGUACCUGUUUCCUUUCUUUAAAAUUACAUCUUACUUUCAUGUUAUUUCAUCAAGUGUCCUUGGCUAAUCUCUCUGCUGGCCAGGACACAGAUUUUUGUUUUUUAAAUUUAAUAGAAAUGUCUCAAUGACAUCCAUUUGAUUUUUUUUCCUUAGCUGGUGGGCAUGGCUUAUGUCUCUGUUGGUAGAGGAUGGUGUGCUUUAAACAGACAACAAUGCAGUCACUAUUUUCUGGCUCAGUGACCAACUACUUGCUCCUGGUAACUUGUGUUUGAGGCAUAUUUCCCCUCCCAAUGUCAAGUUUUGUCUUAGUUUUUAAUAGCUGCAAGGAAGCUGUCGGCUUAUACCUGGUUUUUCUUUAUGUUUUGCCAUUUUAGUACAGAAUGUGAAUCUAAAGGAAUGAAUCCCUAUUGGAUUCAAUUUUAACAGAGGUAAGAGAUGAGAUAGAAAAAGAGGACUGGUUGGGAUGCAGUAACUUGUUCCCACCGUCACUUAUUUCGCCCCUGAGGAAGCUUUCUUGUGAACAAAUACAUAUGAUAUGUGAAAUCCGCAUUUUACUUUCACCUUCUCUAAUGUUUGUUACAAAAAUCCUUAACUUUAAAAAAGCCAUAGUUAUCUCCAAAGUCUGACUUUUCAGUAUUUAUCAGGUUGCGUUUUCUUUAAUAAAAAUGUAAAGGUACCUACUUUUCAACUGUGUUUUUUUUUUUAUUUUCACAAAGAAUAUCUUCUGCAUUUUGCUUAAAGUUCAUUUUGAAUAAUGUUUAUACUUGACAGUAUGUCUUAAAAUAAAUUUUGGCAUCUAUAAAAAUUAGCAGAAAAUUGCCUGUAGACAAAUACAUAAUCAUGUAAUGAUGUCUUAGAUGCAUGUGUGACAGAAAAUGUGAUAACUACAUAG